UUGGACUAACUGUUUAUAUGUACUGCUAAAUGGGAUUCUAACUUUCAGAAAAUACCUUACAUUGAAUGUGGGUACAUGAAUGGACGUUGAACUGAGAAAAUUGAGGAAGAAGUUGCGAGGGAUAGAUAGACUGGAGACACACAGCAGCCUGACAGCUGAUGAGCAGAACAAACUAUCACUCAGACCCCAACUGCAACAUAGGAUGGCACAGUUUGUCAAUCAAAUCAAACAGCUCUGUCGUAACUGAGGUCGCGCCUGUAGAGAAGAGUGGCGAUGUAAAUGUCGACAACAAACUGACGUCCAAAAUAACUCCAAAGCAGUCUCAGGGCAUAAUUCAGGUGAUGAAGUGAGUGUAAAGCAAUUGCGGAAGUUGAAUUGGAGGGGCAAGCAAUUGGAAGGCCAUAAUGACACAGUUUUCUGCUUGGACUCUAACUUGCAUUUCGCCAUUACAGGAGGACGUGACACAAUGGUGAAAGUGUGGGAUGUGAACACGUGUGAAGAGAUCAGAACUUUGUUGGGACACAGUGGAACAGUGACAGCUGUCAAAAUAAUCUACCCGCUAAUCAAAACAGAUGCAGACCACGCAAAUAACAAGGCAGAAUUACAGAACUUCAUAGGCCGCCUUAAUAAGGAUGCUGGCAGUGAAGUAGCGAGAGGCGAGGAUGGACUGUGUCUCACAGCCUCCACUGACUGUUGCAUUAAACUGUGGAAUUACUCAUCAGGCCUGAUUCUGAGAAGCGUCUACACUUUUAGCUCGGUAACUUCCAUCCAUCUUAUGGCCUCAUCCCUAGGUCGAGAGGGUCGCCUGGCUGUUAUUUCAGGAAAUGAGUCUGGCAAACUUCAGAUUUGGGAUCCAAAUGACGGACAGGAAUUACUGAGUAAAAAGUGUCACGACGAUUCAAUUGACCACAUUUGGCCUCAGAUGAAAUUGUUGUCACCGGAUCGAAAGACUGUUUAGUGAAAGUGUGGACCAUCUCGUCAAGCGAGGGAGGAGACAGGCAUUUUUUCUGAACCCUAUUUUUGUCUCCGACUGUUUGAAGCAGCCUUCUUCCGGAGAGACAGUUUCGAGUGAACGGAAGGUGUUUCUUGGACCCAUACUGGCCUUGACUGUAGACCAAGAGGAGUCUCUAAUUUUUGUGGGAGAUGAUGGACCCAAUAUAAAGAUCAUCGACUGGAAAAAAGGUGAGAUGGUGAAGUUGAGGAACCACAGCAGUCCCUUUGGAUACACAGAGUGUCUCUGUCUCACAAGUGAGCUCAUCUUCGCCUCCGCAUAUGACAUGGACACUGGCACAUCA